UACGAGGGGGGCAAGCGUUGUUCGGAUUUAUUGGGCGUAAAGGGUGCGUAGGCGGUCUGGCAAGUCUUGUGUGAAAUCUUCGGGCUCAACCCGAAGUCUGCACAAGAAACUGCCGGGCUUGAGUAUGGGAGAGGUGAGUGGAAUUUCCGGUGUAGCGGUGAAAUGCGUAGAUAUCGGAAGGAACACCUGUGGCGAAAGCGGCUCACUGGACCAUAACUGACGCUGAGGAACGAAAGCUAGGGGAGCAAACAGG
rnacentral:rRNA from 1 species